rnacentral:tRNA from 1 species
CGGUGGGUGGUUCAGUGGUUAGAGCCUACGGCUUGCGAACGGAAGGUCUCGAGUUCGAAUCGCGCCAGAGGUA